UUACUCCCCAAGUCCGCGGUCCCCCGCGCCUGCUGCCUCCCUGGCCCCAGGGAGGGUGGGGCGCCGAGCCGGGCACGGCGGUCCUGCCGGCUGCGUCUCCCGCCGCCGGGCGAGCGCCCCCAGGCCGAGAGGGCUGGCCCUGCGCGGUGUGGGGCGGCCUGACUGCACCGCGGCUCGGUGGUGGCAACCCGGCCAGGCGGCGGCGGGAGGAAGGGAAUCACCCAGGCGGGCGGCCGGGCGGGCGGCACUUCGGCCCCGUGUUACACGCGAAGAAACCCGCCCAGAGAGGCCGAGGGCUGGCCCGGGCGGCCCAGCGGACUGGCGGGUCUCAGGGCGGCCGUGACUGCGGCCCUGACUGGGUGCUCGGCGCCCUGCGGCCCUGACUGGGUGCUCGGCGCCCUGCGGCCCUGACUGGGUGCUCGGUGCCCUGCGGCCCUGACUGGGUGCUUGGCGCCCUGCGACCCUGACUGCAGCCCUGACUGGGUGCUCGGCGCCCUGCGGCCCUGACUGCAGCCCUGACUGGGUGCUUGGCGCUCUGCGGCAGGUGCGGCCUGGCCCUGCGCCAGGGGCUGAGCACGGGGCCCCGCCAGCCACCUGGCUGCUGGGUGGCUGAGCCCAAAGGUGCGCCUAAGAUCUGGGUUCCGACCCUGCCUGUGGAUUCGCCGUUGGAGUUGCAUUCCUCGUCCCCUGCUGGAAGCUUAAGUGAGAUCCACAUAACCUGAGUCUGCUACCUGAGCCCAGAAAAAAGAAAAAAACAGGAGAUAAAAACAGAAGGGCUCUAAUAUUUGUUAAACACCCACAGCUAUCACCAGCCGGGCGCUUUGCAUACAAUUACCUCGUUUAACCAGGCAACACCCUGCCCGCUGCUGUUACCGCCCCUUUCUACCGCUGGGAAAACCGAGUCUGUAACUGAUCAGGGUCAGGAUGGGAUCUCUGCUGUCUGGCCUCUUUUUAGAAAGUCGCUGGGGGUAAAGUCCAAGCUUCAAGAGGCCGUUUGAACAGGGGUUACUUCCUAGGGAGCUAAAGACCUCUCUGGGGCACCGUCUUGGAGGCGUCCGGGGCAAUUAUAAAUACUGCUUCAAAAUUGGGGCUCCUUGUAAAACCCGGCGGAGGAGCAACCGGGCUAGGAGGCGAGCAGCGGCAGGGAGGAGGCUGAUGUGGCAAUCCUGCAGGCAGGGCGAGAGCAGGAAGGAAGGUCAGGAAAUGAUUAACCGGGCAGGGUAGUGGUUAGAGCGGGGCACCUCCCCGCAGUGCAGCCUUGGAACCCAGGGACGUCCCCUCGGUCACUUCUCCCACCCCUCCACUGCCCGCCCUCCCCCAUGACUUGAUUUCUUCCUCGCAUUCCUUUCCCUAAUGGUGUCCAUCCACCUGGGGCUAUCCUGGCGACCCUUUCCUCCAGUGAAAGGUCCCCUGUCGUUUUCCAAGUUUUGAUUACUGUUGGAGGCUCGGUCCUCGGAUUUUAUGGCGGUAAGGAAUUGUGGAAAGUGUGCCUGCUGUGGAAGCAUGGGUUCAAAUCCUGGUCUGCUGCCUACUUGAUGGCUAACCGGUAGGCAGUAAGGAAUUGUGGAAAGUGUGCCUGCUGUGGAAGCAUGGGUUCAAAUCCUGGUCUGCUGACUACUUGAUGGCUAACCGGUAGCAAGUGUCCUUAGCCCCCCCAAGACUUUGGUUCAUCUGUAAGAUGGGAAAAAUCAUACUGAUCUCACAAGACAGAUGUUAGAAUUCAUGAGGAUUGCCUGCUGGUAGUAGGUGGCCAAUAAAUGACAGGUUGUUGCUCUUGUUAUUUAAUGGCAUAGGGUGAGAGCAUAAUUCCCUGGAAAGGAAGAGGAUAAAGAGCAUAGAUUAACACCUGACGUUUGCUCAAGCUCUUCCACACCUUUCCUCCUAUCGUCCUGUUCUCUUGUUAAGGCCUGACUUGAGCCAGACUUCUCAGCUCUCGCCGGAAUACCUCCUCCAGUUAGUAUCCACGUCCCCUGCAUAGGCCAUGGAGCACGCCCUGCCUUUUUCAUGCUGGUAGGUGCUUGCUUCCUUCUUCAGCCUUUCAGAGAUUCUGUUUCCUUAUCCUCUAGACCUCAGCUUGAACACCACUUCCUCAGAGAAGCCUUUCCUGACCUUGCUGCACCCCCAGCUUCCCUCCACUCUUCAUGCAUGUGAUUCUUUCUUUAAUGUCUGCCUUCCACUUGUAGAAGGGUAGCAAACAAGUGUGUCUGGUUCCCCGCUCUCUCCCUAACCUAACCUGCAGAAGGACCAUGGAGGGUGGCCAGUAGAUAAGUGUUCAGUAAGUGAAUGGAUGAGGGAGUGAGUGAUCAGCGAGCAGUGUCUACCAUGUUCAGGAGCUUAGGAAGUAACCUAUAUACACCUAGUAUUUGCUUCCUUGGAGGGGAUCUCUAAAUUUCCUUUCAGCUCUGAGUUUAUGAUUUUAAUGGAACCAGGAAAGUAAAAGCACCUUGUAAAUUGUAAGCUGUUCAUUUGUUUUUUAGUUUUUAUUAGUGGCUUCUCUCCAACUAAUAAAAACUAAAAAAAAAACAAAAAAACUCGACGGCACUGGGUUUUUCUUUCUCUCCAACUAGAAUGAAAACCCCUAUGAGCAGGGGCUCUGGUUAGUGACUCCCUAGCUACAAGAGUCCCUGAGAGCAAAAUAUGACUGUCAGGGAGUUGGGCAAAAUCAGAAAGGCCUUUCUGGAGCUUUCGCUAGAGUCCCCCCGGCCGAAAAAAAAAAAAAACACAGCGAACUUUCCAGUGUCUUUGAAAGUUUUCGUAAUUAAGAUUAAAAAAGAAGAAGAAGAAAAAGAUAGAAACCGCAGUGAGUGUGUCAUGGGGAAGACCACAGGGCACGCUGGGAAAUCUGCUGUUCCAGUCCCUGUUUCUUCAGCUGCAUUUCAGGGAACCUUGGCUUUCUUGUUCUUGGCCUGCAUCACCUUGGCACUGAAGAGCCCUGACAUAUCAGUGCCGUAGUGAUGAUGCACCAGCCUCUUGUUCCGGUGUGAGGGGACGCCCGGCUGCCUGCCAGGGUGGAGAAAGGGGGGGGGCCGUGGGAGGGUGCUCUAGAUGUCAACCUGCCCACGUGUUUUAAAAGUUUGUAUUAUUCAGAGGGGAGGAAUGCACAAUUUUUAAAAAUAAUUCGUUUUUGUUGAAAAUGUACACAGCAAAACAUACGCCAGUUCGCAAUUCCUACAUGUACAAUUCAGCGACGUUGAUUACAUUCAAGUUGUGCAACCAUUUUCACCCUCCUUUUCCGAAUUGUUCCUCCCCCGUUAACCUAAUCUCAUUGCCCCCUAAGCUUCCUAUCUAACCUUUCAAGUAGCUGUUGUCAAUUUGAUCCCAUGUAGAUGGAGCUCUUUAAAAGAGCAAAAUCUCCAGGCAAACAGGAAGCCGCAAUUUCGAUCAUACUGUCAAAUGGUUCUCGUCUACACCUAUCUAUUUGCCUAUCUAUCUAUACACACAUAUUCAUAUAUAUUUGAAGGGAUGGGAAGAGUGGGGAAAGACAUCUGUUGCCAUUGGGAUCAUGAUCAGGAAAGGUCUCAAGGUUGCUGCAACCUUCCUGUAGCCUUAAACUUGAGAAUUCUGACAAAAUUCUGAGGAAGCUAUAGGUGCUGCUGCUUCAUGGGGGAGGAGUAGGAGCUGGCCAGGUAGAAGGGAAACAGGUAGGGGAGGACACAGGUGUGAGGAAACAUUUUUUCUAUAAUCAGAGAACUAUUUAGGUUCUCUUUCUCUCUAUAUAUAUAUAGUAAAAGUGACCAGGCCCUGGGGAAAACUAACUCUAGCCACCCGACUCGGACAAGGCUUAUUGGAAAUACCUAGAGGACUGGUUUAAUUAUAGUAGAAAUUUUUCUAGGAGCAGAGCCUCCUUGGGAAACUAAAGUUAGAUCAAAAGGAGGCUUGGUGAGUAUUCAGAGUGUUGGUGGGAGGAGGGGGAGUGGGGGAAGCUGCCGCUCAGGGACUCUUCUAUCACCUGGCUGAAUUUUCCUAGCAGCACGUAUCUGAUACCUCCUCGCUUGUUUUCUCGUGUAUUGUCAGUCUCCCCCAUGAGAACAGAGCUUGCAGUCCUGUGCAUUGCCUGAUUCCAGCUCCUGGACUCCAGCCUGGUAGAUGGCAGGCCCUGAGUAACUAUUUGUUGAAUGACUUAAUAAAUGAAUGGUAGGGAUGGACUUCAUCCAUGAGCUGUCUUCCCUACUCAGGAAUGUUUGCAGUCAUUCUCCCCAGUUUUUUUUUUUUUUCCAUGCAGCCCUUUUGCAUCAUCUUACCCAGAGUUCCUCAGUGGUGCCCCAUCUCUGCCAGGAUAAAAUAGAAGCCCCCUGCCUGGCAUACAUGAGCCAUCACCAUCACCUAGCAUCUCUGUCACUGAAGCUUUUUUUUUUUUAAUUGUUCCAGCAGAACCUAAAUGGUUCUCUGAGUAUGUAACAAAUGCUUCCUCACGCCUGUGUCCUCCCCUACCUGUUUCCCUCCUACCUGGCCAGCUCCUACUCCUUCCCCGUGAAGCAGCAGCACCUAUAGCUUCCCCAAGAAAGCCCUCCAUCACUCACCCAAGCAGACUUCUAAGCCCCCUCCCAUUCUGUCCCUGCAGCUUGUCACGUAGUGUCCUUAUUUGUGUUUAUGUAUCAGUUCCCCUUGCGAGAAGGUGCUUUUCAUCUGUGGACCCUCAGCCUCGGCUUCAGCAAUAGCAGAUACAGGCAGUGCCAGAUCGAUCCUUCUCCUUUGCCUUUUGCUGCUGCUCUCGCUAGCACUGUGUUUGCUACAUUUGGAAGGCAUGGUACACUUCACAGUAAUAUUUUCGAAAGAAAAUUAAACAGAGAGAGAAUGCUGCAACACUCAAGAGACGCUUGAUACACAAGAUUGGAUACUGCUGCCUACAAGUCAAAGCAUACACUGCUAUAUGGACUAUUUUUUAUCUAGGUGAUGACCCAUAUUGCAGACACAGCACUGACAAAGCAGCAGAGCAGUGUGGCUGUAGCACCCAGCAACACUUUGAUGGUGGACUAAUCACUUCUGUCUCUGGGCCUCAGUAUUCCCAUCAGUAAAAUCAGAGAGUUGGGCUAAAUAUCACCAAAGGUCUUUCCAGAGAGAGCAUCCAAUGAUCCUGUGACUAGCUCACGGCCACCUAGUGACACAGGAAGAGGCAAGGUCGUCUUUGUAUCCUGUGGCGGAGACUGCUAGCCUUUCACCCUAACUUGGUUUCCUGUUCCUCCUGAGUUCACUCUACAAGUCUCUCAGCUUCCCUUGUAGUUCGGCGCGGCCAUGUUUUCAUCAGUGGCUUCUGAGCAGAAAUCACAAGGAUCAGCUCCAGCUGGCGCGGUGGACAGCUGCCCUCGACAGAAAUACUUCAGUGUCCAGUUUUGUUUAUCAACACAUAGAGGAAAUGGGAGAAAUAUAUUAGGCCAAGCCCAGAAAGAAAUGUGGAUCAUUGAGGCUGCCAGUCUGCCUUUCUCUGUGUUUCCUCUUCAACCAUUUGUUCAUUCAUGAAUCUUGGCUGAGCUCCUGCCACCUGCCAGGCACUGAAGACACAGAGACUUGGAGCACAGAACUACACUGGUCCACCUCUAUUGACAUCUCUUCUACACGGUCAAGACGGAAUAUGUCGUGAUACCACUCAUUCCCCUGGGCUCACUGGAUGCCUGAUUGGACUUCAAAGUGAGUUUUAGUCAAACGUAGCUAGGCCAGGAGCUUUAAGCCUUUUAAUUGUGCAAAUGACCUCAGAGAGUAAAGGGCCUGGCUUGGUGCUUGUGUAGAGUACACUCUCAAUAAAUGUCCGUUUGUUUCCUUGAGAAUUUGGCAAAUAGGAAGAAGGGCUGGGAGAUGAAGGCCUGAAAUCAUUGAUUUUAGUAAGUCUAGAUUUUUGCCCUUUUAAAGGGAUCUGGGCCAGAGCAUUUGUUCAAAAAACAUCACUGAUGCACUAGGUGCGUGGGAUACAAAGUGAACAAUACACAGCCUCAUCCUCAAAGAGCCAAGGGAGAGGGCAAAAGACACAGACCAGCAAACAGGCAAUUGCAACACAGAGUGAUAAGCCGAGGAGAGGAAGUACAGGAUGUUGCUUAGCCACAAGCGAGGGCAACUAGCCCUGGCUGGUGGGUGGGGUUAGGGUGGGGGUAGGAGAUCAGGCAAGGCUUCCUGUAGGAAAUGACAUAUGACCUGAGACUUGAUUGACACUAGGAGUUAGCCAGGUAAUGUGUCUGGAACGGACAUAGUGUCCCAGGCAGAGGGAACAGUAUCUGCAAAGGCUCAGAGAGGAUCUGAGACUGCCAGUCUGGCUGGAGACUCAUGUGCAAGGGAGGGAAGACUGAGCGUUGAGGCUGGCAAGGUAGGCAGAGGACAGAUGGUAAAGGACUGCUGAAGGACUCUAACAGAGAGCUGCCAACACAGAGAAAUCUGGGUCCCCAGGAUUCUGGCAUCUGUCAGGGUUUUACUUGGCCAGGUCCUAGGAGAAGGGGAAAGAGCACAGAUGUAGAAAGAAGGGGCUAUAAGACAGGAUAAAUAAAGGAGCUAACAACUGUUACCAUUACCUGUUGCCAUCAAGUCGAUUCUGACUCACGGCGGCCCCAGGUGUUACAUGUGUUGCAGAGCAGAACUGCUGCACAGGGUGUCCUUGGCUAUAAUCUUUACGGAAGCAGAUCACCAGGCCUGUCUUCAGCAGUGUGGCAGGGUGGAUUUAAACUGCCAACCUUUAGGUUAGUUGUUGUUGUUAUUUGUCUUUGAGUUGAUUCCAACUCGUGGUGACCCCAUUUGUGCAGAGUAAAACUGCUCCGUAGGGUUUUCAAGGCUUUGAUCUUUCAGAAGCAGAUUGCCAGACCUGUCUUCCACGGCGCCUCUGGAUGGGUUCGAACCCACCAACCUUUCGGCUAGUAGUCAAGUGCCUAACAGUGUGUACGCCACCCAGCGGCCUUCUAAUAAUUAUUCAACAUCUACAGAUGUUCAACUUCAUCAGUCAUCUAGGAAAUGCAAAUUAAAACCACGGUGCAUGCCUAGCUAGAAGCAAGUAGGGAGGGAUUAGAAUGUGGCCGUGACUCCACCCACCCUCAUCACAAGCUGAUCCCCCAGAGCCCAUGCCCCUGAGGAGCUUACAACCCACUGCGAGGAAAAGGCCAAGAUACUUUAAGAAGUAAAAUUUUAGUGAGGCAAAGAUACUGGGCUUAGAGAAUGUCCACCUUCCAUGUCUGCCUCCUCUUCUCUCCCAGCCUUAGUCUGACCUGACAGUUCAGCUAUCCGGAAUAUUCAGAUAGUUAGCCAGAAAACAGAUUACUCAAAUAUCCAGAACAUAGAUUUUCACAGCCCCAGACCCUUCCAAGAGCCAACGAAUUCACUGGGAAAAACAGGCUUUAGACCCAAUCAGGCUGGAGUUCUGCCUCUGCCUCUGCCCCUGACCUGUCCCGAAAACCCUAUGGGUCAGUUCAACUCUGCACACAUGGGGUCACCACUAGUGGGAAUUGACUCUGUGGCAACUACCAACAAGAAGCAGUGAAACGUGUACAGCACAGGUGAGCUUUGUAUAUGUGCAGGGUAUCUCUGGAAGGAUUCAUAUAAACCAGCCACAGUUGGCUCUGGGGAAGGAGACUGGGUGGGAGAAGGGAAAGGGAGAGAAGUUCACUGUACACCCUUUUGUUCCUUUUGAGUUUGUACUAAAAAAAAUAAAUAAGUAAAUAACAUUUUAAAAGUUUUUUAAAGCCUAACGUGAUUUUGUGCUCAAAGCCAUUUAUAUAACAGUGGGAGGGAGAGGUGGGUUUGACUCCCAGGUAGUCCUGUUUGUGUGUCCUAAACCAAGCUACCUACCUUCUCUGAAGGAGUCCCGGUAAUACAAUGCUUAAGUGCUCAGCUGCUAACUGAAGGGUCAGCAAUUCGAACCCACCAGUGGCUUCACAGGAGAAAAGACCUGGCAAUCUGCUCCCGUAAAGAUUACAGCCUAGGGAACCCAGUCCUGCUCUGUCCUGCAGGGUUGCUGUGAGUCGGCAUGGGUUAGACCACACAAAACAACAACAGACCUUCUCCGAGCCUCCUACUUGUUGCUGUUGAGUUGAUUCCGACUCAUGGUGACACCAAGUGCACAGAGUAGAACUGCUCCAUAGGGUUUUCAAGCCUGUGGCUUUUCUGGAGCAGAUCAUCAAGCCUGUCUUCCGAGGUGCCGCUGGGUGGGUUUCAACUGCCAACCUUUCAGCUAGUAGUCAAGUGCUUAACUGUUUGUGCCACCCAGGGACCCUGAGCCGCCUACCACCUAGCUAAAAUGGAGGUGAUGAUCCUCCAUUGGUGGUUGUGAGGGUGAUGGGUGAAACCUGGCAACACUUACAGAGGCUCUGUACGUGCCAAGCACUCUUCUGAACGUUUUCUGUGUGUUGUCUCAUCCUCAGGGCGACCCUAGGGGAGGGACACUACUCUCCUCCUCCUCAUUUCACAGAUGAGAAAACUGAGGCCCAGAGAGGCUGAGGCACUUGCCCCUACCUCCACUCUGCUGCCUCUCAAUAGAGAAUUCUUAAAUUUCAAACAUUUUUCAGAUUAAAAAAAAAAAGUCUCAGAGAGCAGAAUGUCUCAUUAGGGGGAGAGUAAUUGGGAGUGUGUAGCAAGGUGUAUGUGGGUUUUUGUGUGAGAGACUGACUUGAUUUGUAAACUUUCACUUAAAGCACAAUAAAAAUUAUUUAAAAAACAGAAGUCUCAUGGCAGACUUUAGAUAUGGUGACAGGCUUUUGAGGGGAGUGUUGGUUAAGGAAUCAGCAAAGCAGGUAAGGAGACGCAGCAAGCAAGAGAAAGAGAAGUCGAUUUCUAAUGAAGGUAAGGAUUUUGCAGUCAGAGAAAGCAGUUGAAUUGUAGCCUGCUUGUAAGCUUUUUUUUGUUUUACAUUUGAUUUUGAUUUUUAUAAUUUAUUUUAUUUUUUGUUGAGAAUGUACACAGCAUAAAUAUUAAUUUUAAAUUUUGAAUUAUAUAUUGCAGGAGGACACCAUGAGUUGUUCAGGACUUAGGGUCUCUAAAAACAGUAAGAGGCUGGAGCAAACUUUGAGGCAGGGCUGCUUCCACCAUGUCUCUCAAACGCAUCCUACACAGAGUUACCUUCCACUGUGUCACUGAUUGUGCCUGUGAUCGUUCUUGUUUUUGGUGUAUGUGCUGUCGAGCUGAUUCUGACUCACAGAGACUCUAUAGGACAGAGUGGAACUGCCCCAUAGGGUUUCCUAGGCUGUAAGCUUUACGGAAGCAGAUCACCAGAUCUUUUCUCGCAAGGAGCAGCUGGUAGGUUCAAACUGCCCACCUUUCAGUUAGCAGCCGAGCACUUAACCACUGUGGCACCGUAGAAGGUAUUUUUAUGGUUGACAUCUUGAUAUUAACUUGUCUGUGGUCAUUUACCUCUUUUUCAUAUAACUGAGUCAAAAAACAAUUCUAGUGAAUUGAAUGCUGCAGGCAACUGAGUUCUCAAGUUCAUUGAGCUUUUACUGAAUUUUGGGGGGAAAAAUUCACCUGCACUUCCUUAAAAAAGAUUUUCACAGUCAGGGAUGAGGCUGAAUUUGUACGGGGUGAGAGCACUUACUUUGUCCUGGCUGAGCUGAAUAGCCUCUCUUUCACGAAGUCCUUAUCCCCUGCUAAUGCGCAGGCCCUCCUCCGCCCCCAGGACUCUCUGUCCCCUGCAGCCCUGGACCCUCCUCAUUUCCUGCUGGGCCCCCAGGAAAUACCAAGAAACUCCCAGCUCCCACAGCCUUCAAGUGGCGCUAAUGCUAGCCUGAUAGGGAGCUACUAGAAUGCUAGGGCCCACCCUCCUCUUUGUAGCCCCCUUAGCGUCCAGCCUGGCAGCAGGCAGCGCCCAAACAGGAGGACCAUGCAAAGGCUUCAACCCCACUGCCAGUUCUCAGGGCAAACUCCCACCAGCUCCUUCCUGCCUGACCCCUAGCAGCCAUUUUCAGCAGCUCCUGCUGCUCCCAGGAGCAAGCCCAGACCCUUCCAUGGAUCAGAGAUCCCCCACACUUAAUCCUGGCUGACCGGCCGGCCUUGCUUCUCCCUACAACCUUACAAGGCCUGGUUGCUGAGAAGAUCUUGAAUGCUCUCUACCUGGCUUCUCCCUCAAGCUGUUUCCUCUGCCUGUUUUACUCUGGCCUGUGCACAUCCUCACAUCUACCAAGGCCCAGGGAAAAGCCCAUCUUCCAGAAGAAGUCUCCCCAGCACCCGUCUUUUCAUAUUCUGUCUAUGCACACACACACUCACAUACACGCACACACACACACUCUCACACACACACACCCACAGACACACACACACACACACUCACACACACACCCACACACACCCUAACACAGAGUGUCACAGUGGAUUAAUCUCCCUCCUUCAUCCAUAUUCCUAUCGGGUUCUGCCUGUAUCUCUGAGAUGGCACUUCUCUCUUUCUGCUUUGGAGUAAAGCUCUCCAUGUUCUUCGUGUUCAU